rnacentral:rRNA from 1 species
CCAGACUCCUACGGGAGGCAGCAGUGGGGAAUAUUGCACAAUGGGGGGAACCCUGAUGCAGCGACGCCGCGUGGGUGAAGAAGUCAUUCGUGACGUAAAGCCCUAUCAGCAGGGAAGAAAAUGACGGUACCUGACUAAGAAGCCCCGGCUAACUACGUGCCAGCAGCCGCGGUAAUGCGUAUGGUGCAAGCGUUAUCCGGAAUGACUGGGUGUAAAGGGAGCGUAGACGGUUGUACAAGUCUGAUGCGAAAGCCCACGGCUCAACUGUGGGAGUGCAUUGGAAACUGUAGAACUAGAGUAUCGGAGAGGCAAGUGGAAUUCCUAGUGUAGCGGUGAAAUGCGUAGAUAUUAGGAGGAACACCAGUGGCGAAGGCGGCUUGCUGGACGAAAACUGACGUUGAGGCUCGAAAGCGUGGGGAGCAAACAGGAUUAGAUACCCCAGUA